GCUGAGUACUUCGGAUUUAAUCUCAGCCGCUUGUAAGCUUGAAGCUUUCCCAACUGACAUUUCCCACCCACUUUUCUGACUGCAAAAGGUCAAUCCCACCUUAUUUUAGCAAACAGCCACCUCAUUACCGUCGUUGCCAAAGCUCCUCUUCUUACACCUUCUCUCAAUCUCUUCUCCGCAAGAGAUUUCAGAUGGAAAUCAGCGCCUCUCCUCUCCAAAUGCGCAUUCAAUCCCCACCUCUCGAUUCUCGAUUUUCUCCAAUCUCAGACGGUUUGUCGUUCGGAUCUCGUUUUGCUCCUUUGAAGCUAGGGUUUAGAUCCAGGCACCGCGUUUCAAUGGCGGAUUCGAUGUCGAGCGGUGAAAGCUACGGUCCUAGUUCUUUGGUGAAGGAGCGGCGGUUUUUGUCGACGGAGAGUGAGGUUUCUGUUAGGCCUGUUUAUAACCCCACGCCUCCGGACCGGAAUCUACGAACUCCUCACAGCGGGUAUCAUUUUGAUGGAAGUACACGGAGAUUUUUUGAGGGUUGGUACUUCAAGGUCUCGAUUCCAGAUCAGAGGCAAAGCUUUUGCUUUAUGUAUUCGGUGGAGAAUCCAGCAUUUCCACAGAAACUGGGGACAUUGGAAGAGGCACUUCAUGGGUCUCGAUUUACUGGUGUCGGGGCCCAAAUUCUUGGUGCAGAUGAUAAGUAUAUUUGCCAAUACUCCAAAGAAUCUAAGUACUUCUGGGGAAGUAGGCAUGAGCUUAUAUUAGGGAAUACCUUCAAAGAGGGGAAAGGCUUCACCCCACCAAGAGGGGAAGUUCCUCCUCAGGAAUUCAAUAACCGUGUGUUAGAAGGGUUCCAGGUCAGCCCAAUUUGGCAUCAAGGAUUUAUUCGUGAUGAUGGAAGGUCAGAUAACAUGAAAAUUGUCAAGACUGCACGUUGGGAGUACAGUACGCGUCCUGUCUAUGGUUGGGGUAAUGUUGACUCGAAACAAAAAUCUACGGCAGGGUGGCUUGCAGCUUUUCCCAUAUUUGAACCACAUUGGCAAAUUUGUAUGGCAGGUGGAUUGUCAACAGGUUGGAUAGAGUGGGAUGGAGAACGAUUUGAAUUUGAAAAUGCACCAUCUUAUUCCGAAAAAAAUUGGGGCGCAGCCUUCCCAAAAAAAUGGUUCUGGGUCCAGUGUAAUGUGUUUCAAGGUGCAACAGGGGAAGUUGCUUUGACUUCAGGUGGUGGAUUGAGGAAGCUAUCUGGAUUAACUGAUAACUAUGAAGAGGUUGCAAUGAUUGGAGUUCACCACAAUGGAAUUUUCUAUGAAUUUGUACCAUGGACUGGUGUUGUUAGUUGGGAAAUUGCUCAAUGGGGUUACUGGAAUAUAUCUGCAGAAAAUGAAAUGUAUAAGGCGGAAUUAGAGGCAACCACAAAGGAGCCAGGUACACCGCUACGGGCUCCAACGAUGGAAGCUGGGUUCGCUUUGGCAUGCAAGGAUACAUGUUAUGGCAAUCUUAGGUUACAGAUAUGGGAAAAAAGAUAUGAUGGCAGCAAAGGCAAGGUUAUUCUCGAUGUGACCAGCGACAUGGCUGCUUUAGAAGUUGGGGGAGGGCCAUGGUUCAACACCUGGAAAGGCAUGAGCACUUCACCGGAGUUGGUUAGUCAGGCUCUCAGAUUUCCUGUGGAUGUGGAGGGGAUUUUCAACAUGGUUCCAAUUUUCAAACCCCCUGGCUUUUAGCCAUCCGGUGACUCAGGGAUUCUAUUUUAAAAUUAAUCGGAGUUGUUCAAUAUGAGAGAACAGCAUCCUUUAAUCCUUACAAGCAAUAAUAUCAUGAGAUGAUAAUAUGAGCUUUGUUGUUGGGACUUUAGCCAUUGAUACUGCUUUAUAGUCCAAACAAUUUAUCUGAUGGGGCUCACAGUGUAUGUUGGAUACCAAUAAAUAAAAACUCCUAAGCUGGAUCCAGAAAGUAGUUCCUCAUUUGAUCACCGACCCCAAAAAACAUAUGAGCAUGCUAGCAUGCUUUACUAAUAGGCUUUUCGGCAGCUGUUCCUUGCUAGCCGCUAAUUUCAA